UGGAUAUUAGACGAUCUCAUUGAGAACCGU
rnacentral:piRNA from 1 species